rnacentral:rRNA from 1 species
CCUACGGGAGGCAGCAGUGGGGAAUAUUGCACAAUGGGGGAAACCCUGAUGCAGCGACGCCGCGUGAGUGAAGAAGUAAUUCGUUAUGUAAAGCUCUAUCAGCAGGGGAGAAAAUGACGGUACCUGAGUAAGAAGCCCCGGCUAACUACGUGCCAGCAGCCGCGGUAAUACGUAGGGGGCAAGCGUUAUCCGGAUUUACUGGGUGUAAAGGGAGCGUAGACGGCAGUGCAAGUCUGGAGGGAAAGGCGGGGGCUCAACCCCGGGACUGCUCUGGAAACUGUGCGGCUGGAGUGCAGGAGAGGUAAGUGGAAUUCCUAGUGUAGCGGUGAAAUGCGUAGAUAUCAGGAGGAACACCAGUGGCGAAGGCGGCUUACUGGACUGUAACUGACGUUGAGGCUCGAAAGCGUGGGGAGCGAACAGGAUUAGAUACCCGAGUAGUC